ACUCCUGCGGGAGGCAGCAGUGGGGAAUAUUGGACAAUGGGCGCAAGCCUGAUCCAGCCAUGCCGCGUGAGUGAUGAAGGCCCUAGGGUUGUAAAGCUCUUUUGUGCGGGAAGAUAAUGACGGUACCGCAAGAAUAAGCCCCGGCUAACUUCGUGCCAGCAGCCGCGGUAAUACGAAGGGGGCUAGCGUUGCUCGGAAUCACUGGGCGUAAAGGGUGCGUAGGCGGGUCUUUAAGUCAGGGGUGAAAUCCUGGAGCUCAACUCCAGAACUGCCUUUGAUACUGAAGAUCUUGAGUUCGGGAGAGGUGAGUGGAACUGCGAGUGUAGAGGUGAAAUUCGUAGAUAUUCGCAAGAACACCAGUGGCGAAGGCGGCUCACUGGCCCGAUACUGACGCUGAGGCACGAAAGCGUGGGGAGCAAACAGGAUUAGAAACCCGUGUAGUCC
rnacentral:rRNA from 1 species